rnacentral:tRNA from 1 species
GGGCUCGUAGAUCAGACCGGUAGAUCGCGUCCUUGGCAUGGACGAGGCCUCGGGUUCGAAUCCCGACGAGUCCA